UUCCAGCACCCCGAGUGGUCGGGACGAUUAUUGGGCCUAAAGCAUCCGUAGCCGGUUUUACAAGUCCUCCGUUAAAUCCAACUGCUUAACAGAUGGGCCGCGGAGGAUACUAUAAGACUAGGAGGCAGGAGAGGCAAGCGGUACUCAGUGGGUAGGGGUAAAAUCCGUUGAUCCAUUGAAGACCACCAGUGGCGAAGGCGGCUUGCCAGAAUGCGCUCGACGGUGAGGGAUGAAAGCUGGAGGAGCAAACCGG
rnacentral:rRNA from 1 species